AUUUAAGCAUAUUAAUGAGGGGAAGGAAAAGAAACUAACAAGGAUUUUCUUAGUAGCGGCGAGCGAAAAGAAAUCAGUUCAGCACUGAGUUAUUUUGUUUUUAACAACAAAUAUAAGAUGCAGUGUAUGGAAUAUCUAUAAUCUGGUAUGUUUAAUUAAUAGUCCAAGUCCUUCUUAAAUGAGGCCAUUUACCCAUAGAGGGUGCUAGGCCCGUAGUGACGUUAAUGAUUACUAGAAGAUAUUUCCUAAGAGUCGUGUUGCUUGAUAGUGCAGCACUAAAUGGGUGGUAAACUCCAUCUAAAACUAAAUAUAACCAUGAGACCGAUAGCAAACAAGUACCGUGAGGGAAAGUUGAAAAGGACUCUGAAUAGAGAGUUAAAUAGUACGUGAAACUGCUUAGAGGUUAAGCCCGAUGAACCUAAAUAUCAAGUAUGAAAAAUUCAUCAUUAAUAGUAUAUUAAGUAAAAUUAAUAUAUGAAUAAUGUGCAAUUUUUUCAUACAAUGACAUUGUAAUCUGUUAAUAUCAUAUGAAUUUAUCAUAAGAACUGCUUGGAUUAGCUUAUUAUAAAUUCAAUUCUUUUUGGAUUGAAUAUAAUAAAAUUCAAUUAAAAUGCAGUAUUCGGAUAAAUUAUUGACAGAUUAAAGUAAUAUAACGCAAACAUAUUUAUAUAUAUGUUAUAAUUAAAAUAAAACAAUAUUUGUUUUAUUUUAUAUUAUAUGCGUAUUUAUAUGAUUAACAAUGCGAUAGAUUUAGGAUACCUUCGGGACCCGUCUUGAAACACGGACCAAGAAGUCUAACAUGUUUGCAAGUCAUUGGGUUUUUUAAAAACCUAAAGGCGAAAUUAACUUAACUGAAUAUAAAAUAAUGGGAUUAAUUGAUAUAUAUAUUAUAAAUGUAUCAAAACCAUCCCGGGGCGUUUCAUAUAGUUAUGUAUAUUAAUAUUUAUAUAUUAUAUAUACCUCUAACUGAAGCGUACCUUGAGCAUAUAUGUUGUGACCCGAAAGAUGGUGAACUAUACCUGAUCAGGUUGAAGUCAGGGGAAACCCUGAUGGAAGACCGAAACAGUUCUGACGUGCAAAUCGAUUGUCAGAAUUGGGUAUAGGGGCGAAAGACCAAUCGAACCAUCUAGUAGCUGGUUCCCUCCGAAGUUUCCCUCAGGAUAGCUGGUGCAAUGAAAUAUGAUUAUUUAUAAUCUUAUCUGGUAAAGCGAAUGAUUAGAGGCCUUAGGGCCGAAACGGCCUUAACCUAUUCUCAAACUUUAAAUGGGUAAGAACCUAACCUUUCUUGAAAUGAAGGUUUAGGUUAUGAUAUAUUGUGCCCAGUGGGCCACUUUUGGUAAGCAGAACUGGCGCUGUGGGAUGAACCAAACGUGAUGUUAUGGCGCCUAAAUUAACAACUCAUACUGAUACCAUGAAAGGCGUUGCUUGCUUAAAACAGCAGGACGGUGGACAUGGAAGUCGUAAACCGCUAAGGAGUGUGUAACAACUCACCUGCCGAAGCAACUAGCCCUUAAAAUGGAUGGCGCUCAAGUUGUAUGCCUAUACAUUACCGCUAAAGCAUAUGAUUUAUUAAAAAUUAAUUUUUUAAUAGGUUUUGAAGCUUUAGUGAGUAGGAGGGUACAAUAGUGUGCGUAGAAGUGUUUGACGUAAGUCUGCAUGGAGCCGCUAUUGGCACAGAUCUUGGUGGUAGUAGCAAAUAAUCGAAUGAGACCUUGGAGGACUGAAGUGGAGAAGGGUUUCGUGUGAACAGUGGUUGAUCACGAGUUAGUCGGUCCUAAGUUCAAGGCGAAAGCCGAAAAUUGUUAAGUUUUUAUAUAAAAAAAAUUAAUUAAUUAUUAUUUAUUUUUUUAGAUAUACUUACUAAUAUUUUUGAGCGAAAGGGAAUACGGUUCCAAUUCCGUAACCUGUUGAGUAUACGUUUGUUAUUAAAAAUGGGCUUUAAUGCUCAUCCUGGUAACAGGAAAAACCAUAAAGAAGCCGUCGAGAGAUAUCGAAAGAGUUUUCUUUUCUGUUUCAUAGUUGUACUACCAUGGAAGUCUUUCGAAGAGAGAUAUGGUAGAUGAACUAGAAGAGCAUGGCAUUUACUGCUAUGUCGAUAUUUUCUCCUCGGACCUUGAAAAUUUAUGGUAGGGUUACGCAAAGUUCUCAACAGGCCGUACCAAUAUCCGCAGCUGGUCUCCAAGGUGAAGAGUCUCUAGUCGAUAGAAUAAUGUAGGUAAGGGAAGUCGGCAAAUUAGAUCCGUAACUUCGGGAUAAGGAUUGGCUCUGAAGAUUGAGAUAGUCGGGCUUGAUUGGGAAACAAUAAUAUGGUCUAUGUACUCGUUCUGGGUAAAUUAGGAUUAAUACAAUUUUUUAUUUUUUUGGGAAAUUGUAUUUAUCUGUUCCCCGGAUAGAAGUUUACGUAACCAAUUGUGGAACAUUCUUGCUAAUAAUUUAUAGGAAUUGCAAAAUUUCUAUUAAAUUAAUAACGGCUAUCAAUUAACAAUCAAUUCAGAACUGGCACGGACUUGGGGAAUCCGACUGUCUAAUUAAAACAAAGCAUUGUGAUGGCCCUAACGGGUGUUGACACAAUGUGAUUUCUGCCCAGUGCUCUGAAUGUCAAAGUGAAGAGAUUCAAGUAAGCGCGGGUAAACGGCGGGAGUAACUAUGACUCUCUUAAGGUAGCCAAAUGCCUCGUCAUCUAAUUAGUGACGCGCAUGAAUGGAUUAACGAGAUUCCUACUGUCCCUAUCUACUAUCUAGCGAAACCACAGCCAAGGGAACGGGCUUGGAAUAAUUAGCGGGGAAAGAAGACCCUGUUGAGCUUGACUCUAAUCUGGCAGUGUAAGGAGACAUAAGAGGUGUAGCAUAAGUGGGAGAUAUAUAGUUUCGGCUAUAUGUCAACAAUGAAAUACCACUACUCUUAUUGUUUCCUUACUUACUUGAUAAAGUGGAACGUGUAUCAUUUACUUAGCCAUUAUAUGGAUAUAUUUUAUAUAUUUUAUGGUAUUUAGUUUUGAUGCAAGCUUCUUGAUCAAAGUACGUAGAGUUUGUUAUAUAAUCCAAACAAAUUCAUAUGAAAUUAUAUGUGUUUUCUUUUUAUAAGGGAAAUACAUUAAUGAAAGUAGUUGAAUUUGGUAUAACUCCCAAAUACUCAGGUAUAAUCCAAUUCAAGGACAUUGCCAGAUAGGGAGUUUAACUGGGGCGGUAUAUCUCUCAAAUAAUAACGGAGGUGUCCCAAGGCCAGCUCAGUGCGGACAGAAACCACACAUAGAGCAAAAGGGCAAAUGCUGACUUGAUCUCGGUGUUCAGUACACACAGAGACAGCAAAAGCUCGGCCUAUCGAUCCUUUUGGUUUAAAGAGUUUUUAACAAGAGGUGUCAGAAAAGUUACCACAGGGAUAACUGGCUUGUGGCGGCCAAGCGU
rnacentral:rRNA from 1 species